rnacentral:rRNA from 1 species
CAGCAGCCGCGGUAAUACGAGGGGGGCAAGCGUUGUUCGGAAUUAUUGGGCGUAAAGGGUGCGUAGGCGGUUUCGUAAGUCUUAUGUGAAAUCUAUGGGCUCAACCCAUAGUCUGCAUGGGAAACUGCGAGGCUUGAGGAUGGGAGAGGUGAGUAGAAUUUCCGGUGGAGCGGUGAAAUGCGUUGAGAUCGGAAGGAACGCCCGUGGCGAAAGCGAGUGCCUGGACCCUUUCUGACGCUGAGACGCGAAAGCCAGGGGAGCGAACGGGAUUAGAUACCCCUGUAGUCCCUGUCUCUUAUAC